UCUAAACCACACAGGGACGGAGAGUUAUCGAGACCGUGAGCGUACCUGGGAUCAUCGCUAUGGUUACUGGGCUCUUUAACCUGAAGGCAGAUUAACAGGGAGAUAGACGAUAGUAGACUACUACUGGUAGUAGAAUAGUAGUAGUAAUUAUACUGAGACAGAAGGAGGGUUUCACCAAAUCGACUAGCCAGGUGUCAAAUUAAUUAGCCAUCUUUAUUAUGGCCCAUGGGGGGGGGGGGGGUGUCUCCUCUUUAUAAUACACCAAUAGGAGGUCUCCUACCUCUUAAUCAUAGACCAAUAGGAGGUCUCCUCUAUCAAAGACCAAUAGGAGGUCUCCCAGCGCUUAAUCAUAGACCAAUAGGUGGUCUCCUUCCUCUUUAUCAUAGACCAAUAGGUGGUCUCCUUCCUCUUUAUCAUAAACCAAUAGGUGGUCUCCUUCCUCUUUAUCAUAGACCAAUAGGUCUCUUCCAAACUCAUUAUAGGCCAAUAGGAGGUCUCCUUCCACUUUAUCAUAGACCAGUAGGUGUAUUUUCUUCUUCGUCAUUGACCAAUGGCUUUCCUACCUCAGACCCGUAGGUCAAUAGGAGGCAGGCGACGGUCAACUCCACCAGCAUCAGGAUCAACAGCAGAAUGAAGAACUGAGGGUGGAGGUUCAUUAGUACACAACACGGUCUUCCCCUGUUGUUUUCCUGUGCAGUGACAUAUCCAUGUGAAUGUGUGCAUGAAUGGGUGAAUGUUAGGCGAUAUUGUAAAUCGGCCUUUGAGAGGCCACUGGUUAGAAAGCGCCACAUAGAGUAGGGGAUUGCAGUCAGAAGGUAGCUAGUUCUAUCCCCGGCUCCGCAUCGCUGAGUGGCGAGGUGUCCCCGAGUAAGGCAUCUAACCCUAACUGCUCCCGAAGAGCUGUGAAUGUGUGUGAAUGUGAAUGUGAGGCGGUAUUGACGGCCUUUGAGAGGCCACUGGUUAGAAGAGCGCUGUAUCAGAAGGUGGUCGCUGAGUGAACAUACGGUGAGCAGGAAGCAACGGUUCUCUUUCAGCGCGCCGAUGAAGCCCAGGAAGGAGACGCAGGUGACGAUGAUGCCGGACACGAGCAGCAGGUUGGCCGCCGUCAAAAACUGCAUGGAGUCGAGCAGCGAGUUCGUCUGAUAGCAGGUCAGGUACACCCCGAAGCCAAGCAUGAUGGCUCCCGAAAU